UGCCCGCCAGCCGCAGGCCGGUUGGAGCGCAGCGCCUGCUCGCGCCGAGUCCGGCCCUUGCUGCGCCCCGCCCCGCAGGCCGGGAAGUCGCGCAGGUAGUAGUAGUCCAGGCAGUCGUAAAGCUCCUCCUCGUAGCUUAUGGGUGGCGGCGGCAGGGCCAGAGGCUGCAGACGCGGAAGCGCCCGCUCUGCGGCCGCUUCCAUCCUGCCCAGGCCUGUGGCCACCGGCGGCCACCUGCCCGCGUCUGGGCGCUCCUGGAAGACCCAGCAGCCCCGCCUCCAGUUCAGAUGGGCUCAGCGUGAAGGUGGGGGUGCCUUCGGCGACGCCAUAGAGGCUGACCUUGGACGACGUCACAGUGGCGGUACAGUGCCUGGAGCAGGGCUGUCUUCUUGGAGUGCGGCCUGGUAACCAGGACCUCCCCGCCAGAUCCUGUAUGUUGCUGGAGAAGGGUAGCUGACAAACUCCAACUCAGCACAGUGUUUGUGUUGGUCAAAAAUAGGAAACUAUGUUAAAGCGCGGCGGAAGUGGGAGGAUCCCUUCAGGCCAGGCAGUCAAGAGCAGCCUGGGCAACAUAGCGCGACCCCAUCUCUGAAGUCCCACCUCAGCUUCCCAGCUACUUGAACUCCAAGGUUCAUGGCUCCAAUGAGCUAUCUUCCCACUACAGCACCCCAGCCUGCGAGACUGAGGACACAUAAUCCACUGGGAGAUAAGAGAUUAGCAGCUGGCAGGCGGUGAUGCACAGCAAAAACAAAAACCAAGAGGUGAAAUAGUUGUGAAAUAAACAAGGUUUUAAAGAUACAGCAUUACCUGGAAAGAAGCUAAAGCUAUUAUGCAGCGAUGCCCAACUUGACAAAUGGCCAAAAUCAACAUCCAAUUUGGAUACCAUCAAGAUACCUGAAACCUUAUCAUGAGCCAGAUUCUGGGAGGAUCCCAAGGACCCCUCAGUUGCAGCCAUGGCGAGACUGACACUGAGGAGGACCCCAACUGUCACAAGCAACACCUGUCGAACACAGCCACUCACCUGGGGACAGAUCAAGAAGCUGUCACAGAUGGCAGAAGAAAACGUGAGGAAAGCGGGACAACCAGUCACAAUGAGUAAUUUAAUGGUAGCUAUGAUAGCGGUUAUCACCACUGCCAUGAGUAUUCCUUCAAUAAAGGCUGACACAGAGAACAA